rnacentral:rRNA from 1 species
UACGUAGGUGGCAAGCGUUGUCCGGAAUUAUUGGGCGUAAAGCGCGCGCAGGUGGUUCCUUAAGUCUGAUGUGAAAGCCCCCGGCUCAACCGGGGAGGGUCAUUGGAAACUGGGGAACUUGAGUGCAGAAGAGGAUAGUGGAAUUCCAAGUGUAGCGGUGAAAUGCGUAGAGAUUUGGAGGAACACCAGUGGCGAAGGCGACUGUCUGGUCUGUAACUGACACUGAGGCGCGAAAGCGUGGGGAGCAAAC